rnacentral:rRNA from 1 species
AUUGAACGCUGGCGGCAUGCUUUACACAUGCAAGUCGAACGGUAACAGGGAGCUUGCUCCGCUGACGAGUGGCGAACGGGUGAGUAAUGCGUCGGAACGUGCCGAGUAGUGGGGGAUAACGCAGCGAAAGUUGUGCUAAUACCGCAUACGAUCUAUGGAUGAAAGCGGGGGACCGUAAGGCCUCGCGCGAUUGGAGCGGCCGAUGUCCGAUUAGGUAGUUGGUGAGGUAAAGGCUCACCAAGCCGACGAUCUGUAGCUGGUCUGAGAGGACGACCAGCCACACGGGGACUGAGACUCGGCCCAGACUUCUACGGGAGGCAGCAGUGGGGAAUUUUGGACAAUGGGGGCAACCCUGAUCCAGCAAUGCCGCGUGCAGGAAGAAGGCCUUCGGGUUGUAAACUGCUUUUGUACGGAACGAAACGGCUCUGGUUAAUACCUGGGGCUAAUGACGGUACCGUAAGAAUAAGCACCGGCUAACUACGUGCCAGCCGCCGCAGUAAAAC